GUGAUAAUUGAAUUUAACGGCCGCGGUAGCAUGACCGUGCUAAGGUAGCAUAAUCAUUUGUCCUUUAAUUGAGGACUGGUAUAAACGGCUGCACAAGAAAUUGUCUGUCUCUACUAUAAAGUUUGAAAUUCACAUUUAAGUGAAAAGGCUUAAAUGGAAUAGGGGGACGAUAAGACCCUAUAAAUCUUUACAAUUAGGGCUUUAGUUAUUAGAAAGUAGUUAUGGAUCUAAAUCUAAGGUUUAAAUUGUUUUGUUGGGGCGACAGAAGUAUAAUAAGUAACUGCUUUGGUUUUCAUAUUAAUUGUUUUUAUUAUGGUUAGUUUAAAAGAUCCUCUUUUGGAGAUCACAGACUAAGUUACUUUAGGGAUAACAGCGUAAUCUUUCUUGAGAGUUCAUAUCGAAAGAAGGGUUUGCGACCUCGAUGUUGAAUUAAAGAACCUUUAUGGUGUAGCCGC
rnacentral:rRNA from 1 species